rnacentral:rRNA from 1 species
AUUGAACGCUGGCGGCAUGCCUUACACAUGCAAGUCGAACGGUAACAGGUCUUCGGAUGCUGACGAGUGGCGAACGGGUGAGUAAUACAUCGGAACGUGCCCAGUCGUGGGGGAUAACUACGCGAAAGCGUAGCUAAUACCGCAUACGAACUCAGGUUGAAAGCGGGGGAUCGCAAGACCUCGCGCGAUUGGAGCGGCCGAUGGCAGAUUAGGUAGUUGGUGGGGUAAAGGCUCACCAAGCCGACGAUCUGUAGCUGGUCUGAGAGGACGACCAGCCACACUGGGACUGAGACACGGCCCAGACUCCUACGGGAGGCAGCAGUGGGGAAUUUUGGACAAUGGGCGCAAGCCUGAUCCAGCCAUUCCGCGUGCAGGAUGAAGGCCCUCGGGUUGUAAACUGCUUUUGUACGGAACGAAACGCGCCGGGCUAAUACCCUGGCGUAAUGACGGUACCGUAAGAAUAAGCACCGGCUAACUACGUGCCAGCAGCCGCCGUAACAC